AACGAACGCUGGCGGCAUGCCUAACACAUGCAAGUCGAACGAGACCUUCGGGUCUAGUGGCGCACGGGUGCGUAACGCGUGGGAAUCUGCCCUUGGGUUCGGAAUAACAGUUAGAAAUGACUGCUAAUACCGGAUGAUGUCUUCGGACCAAAGAUUUAUCGCCCAGGGAUGAGCCCGCGUCGGAUUAGCUAGUUGGUGAGGUAAAAGCUCACCAAGGCGACGAUCCGUAGCUGGUCUGAGAGGAUGAUCAGCCACACUGGGACUGAGACACGGCCCAGACUCCUACGGGAGGAAGCAGUGGGGAAUAUUGGACAAUGGGCGAAAGCCUGAUCCAGCAAUGCCGCGUGAGUGAUGAAGGCCUUAGGGUUGUAAAGCUCUUUUACCCGGGAUGAUAAUGACAGUACCGGGAGAAUAAGCCCCGGCUAACUCCGUGCCAGCAGCCGCCGUAACAC
rnacentral:rRNA from 1 species